CGGGGCCGAGCGGCGGAGUUGGCUGUGAGGGGGCGGUGUGAGGGGGCGGAGAGAGGAGGUGGAGUGAGGGGUUUGUCCAUUUUCAGAGUAGUCGGGAAAUCCCACAGGAAAAACAACACUUCUCGCGUGAGCAAAGCAAACCCCAGGUACGCCUCGUGCCAGCUGACGGUGGUGACUCGUGGGGAGGGACCCCAACAGUGCCCGGAGAGGGUCAGGCUCGUAAAGGAAGCUGCUUAGCUGAGGCAUUUUGAAGGAUUUAGAGAAUUGUCUGGUGGUACUGAGCCCGUGACAGGAGAGUACGAACAUAUCAUCAUUGGGCAGCUUAUUCCUGGAGCCCCAAAGCGGAGCGAGGUCCUGGGAGCUCUUGAGCGAUUUCUCCUGCGGUGUCUCACUGCCCUCUCGUGGCUGAAGGAUGCAUGUGCACGUCACCGCGCUGAGUAUCUCGUCUGCCUCAUGGUGCUGCAUUAAAUUCCCAGUCAGAAUGUUACGGCCGGCAUAAUCUCCUUUAAUUCCUGCCGGCCUGGAAUACUCGGUUAACUUUCCUUUUUUAGCUCCAGUUAUCUGCACAAACCCAGAGGAGCUCCUUGGCCUGAAGAGCUGCCCGACGGAGCGCAUGGAGCCUGGCACCAGCCAGGCUGGAAUGAGUCCCCGAGAGUCCAGCUGCGCUCUGGAGAAGAGAAAUAGAGAGCUGCGGGAGGCCAGAGCAAGUUCUGAGGAGGGAUGAUUGGUCCUGCCUUGGAAGCAAGAGAAUGUCCUGGUGUCUGGGAAUAUUUUGGGCAUAAAACUGGAGGUGAUGGAAUUGCCUCUCUGUUCGUGUGCUGAGCUGCGGCUGCAGGGACUGUCAGG